CGGUGUGGGCAACCUGCCCUGUACUGGGGAAUAAUCAUUGGAAACGAUGACUAAUACCGCAUGUGGUCCUCGGAAGGCAUCUUCUGAGGAAGAAAGGAUUUAUUCGGUACAGGAUGGGCCCGCAUCUGAUUAGCUAGUUGGUGAGAUAACAGCCCACCAAGGCGACGAUCAGUAGCCGACCUGAGAGGGUGAUCGGCCACAUUGGGACUGAGACACGGCCCAA
rnacentral:rRNA from 1 species